GACGAACGCUGGCGGCGUGCUUAACACAUGCAAGUCGAACGGAAAGGCCCUGCUUUUGUGGGGUGCUCGAGUGGCGAACGGGUGAGUAACACGUGAGUAACCUGCCCUUGACUUUGGGAUAACUUCAGGAAACUGGGGCUAAUACCGGAUAGGAGCUCCUGCCGCAUGGUGGGGGUUGGAAAGUUUCGGCGGUUGGGGAUGGACUCGCGGCUUAUCAGCUUGUUGGUGGGGUAGUGGCUUACCAAGGCUUUGACGGGUAGCCGGCCUGAGAGGGUGACCGGCCACAUUGGGACUGAGAUACGGCCCAGACUCCUACGGGAGGCAGCAGUGGGGAAUAUUGCACAAUAGGCGGAAGCCUGAUGCAGCAACGCCGCGUGCGGGAUGACGGCCUUCGGGUUGUAAACCGCUUUCGCCUGUGACGAAGCGUGAGUGACGGUAAUGGGUAAAGAAGCACCGGCUAACUACGUG
rnacentral:rRNA from 1 species